rnacentral:rRNA from 1 species
GUGCUUUGGGGUGGGGUGACUGCGUACCUUUUGUAUAAUGGGUCAGCGACUUAUAUUCUGUAGCAAGGUUAACCGUAUAGGGGAGCCGAAGGGAAACCGAGUCUUAACUGGGCGUUAAGUUGCAGGGUAUAGACCCGAAACCCGGUGAUCUAGCCAUGGGCAGGUUGAAGGUUGGGUAACACUAACUGGAGGACCGAACCGACUAAUGUUGAAAAAUUAGCGGAUGACUUGUGGCUGGGGGUGAAAGGCCAAUCAAACCGGGAGAUAGCUGGUUCUCCCCGAAAGCUAUUUAGGUAGCGCCUCGUGAACUCAUCUUCGGGGGUAGAGCACUGUUUCGGCUAGGGGGUCAUCCCGACUUACCAACCCGAUGCAAACUGCGAAUACCGAAGAAUGUUAUCACGGGAGACACACGGCGGGUGCUAACGUCCGUCGUGAAGAGGGAAACAACCCAGACCGCCAGCUAAGGUCCCAAAGUCACAGUUAAGUGGGAAACGAUGUGGGAAGGCUCAGACAGCCAGGAUGUUGGCUUAGAAGCAGCCAUCAUUUAAAGAAAGCGUAAUAGCUCACUGGUCGAGUCGGCCUGCGCGGAAGAUGUAACGGGGCUAAACUGUGCACCGAAGCUGCGGCAGCGACGCUUAUGCGUUGUUGGGUAGGGGAGCGUUCUGUAAGCCUGCGAAGGUGUCCUGUGAGGGAUGCUGGAGGUAUCAGAAGUGCGAAUGCUGACAUAAGUAACGAUAAUGCGGGUGAAAAGCCCGCUCGCCGGAAGACCAAGGGUUCCUGUCCAACGUUAAUCGGGGCAGGGUGAGUCGACCCCUAAGGCGAGGCCGAAAGGCGUAGUCGAUGGGAAACGGGUUAAUAUUCCCGUACUUGGUGUUACUGCGAAGGGGGGACGGAGAAGGCUAUGUUGGCCGGGCGACGGUUGUCCCGGUUUAAGCGUGUAGGCUGGUUUUCCAGGCAAAUCCGGAAAAUCAAGGCUGAGGCGUGAUGACGAGGCACUACGGUGCUGAAGCAACAAAUGCCCUGCUUCCAGGAAAAGCCUCUAAGCAUCAGGUAACAUCAAAUCGUACCCCAAACCGACACAGGUGGUCAGGUAGAGAAUACCAAGGCGCUUGAGAGAACUCGGGUGAAGGAACUAGGCAAAAUGGUGCCGUAACUUCGGGAGAAGGCACGCUGACACGUAGGUGAAGUGAUUUACUCA